rnacentral:rRNA from 1 species
AAUGUCUGUCCAAGCAAUGAGUCUUGAUGUGAGUCAAAUGCUUACAUCUCUAAGGACAAGUUGUGAUGGGGAGGGAAAUAAUAGUACCGAAGUUCCUGAUGUCACACUGCCGAGAAAAGCUUCUAGUGAGAAAACAAUGGCCCGUACCGCAAACCGACACAGGUAGUCGAGGAGAGAAUCCUAAGGUGAGCGAGAGAACUCUCGUUAAGGAACUCGGCAAAAUGACCCCGUAACUUCGGGAGAAGGGGUGCUGAUCUAACGAUCAGCCGCAGUGAAUAGGCCCAAGCGACUGUUUAUCAAAAACACAGGUCUCUGCAAAAUCGAAAGAUGACGUAUAGGGGCUGACGCCUGCCCGGUGCUGGAAGGUUAAGAGGAGUGCUUAGCGUAAGCGAAGGUACGAAUUGAAGCCCCAGUAAACGGCGGCCGUAACUAUAACGGUCCUAAGGUAGCGAAAUUCCUUGUCGGGUAAGUUCCGACCCGCACGAAAGGCGUAACGAUUUGGGCACUGUCUCAACGAGAGACUCGGUGAAAUUUUAGUACCUGUGAAGAUGCAGGUUACCCGCGACAGGACGGAAAGACCCCAUGGAGCUUUACUGCAGUUUGAUAUUGAGUGUUUGUACCACAUGUACAGGAUAGGUAGGAGCCGUAGAAGUCGGGACGCUAGUUUCGACAGAGGCGCUGGUGGGAUACUACCCUUGUGUUAUGACCACUCUAACCCGCACCACUAAUCGUGGUGGGAGACAGUGUCAGAUGGGCAGUUUGACUGGGGCGGUCGCCUCCUAAAGAGUAACGGAGGCGCCCAAAGGUUCCCUCAGAAUGGUUGGAAAUCAUUCGCAGAGUGUAAAGGCACAAGGGAGCUUGACUGCGAGACCUACAAGUCGAGCAGGGACGAAAGUCGGGCUUAGUGAUCCGGUGGUUCCG